UUCGACUGUUUACCAAAAACAUAGCCUCUAUAAAAAUAUUAGAGGUGAUGCCUGCCCAGUGGGGAUGGUAUAAAAAAUUAUAGUGAAAUUUUAUUUUCCCUAAACGGAUGCGGUAACUCUGACUGUAAUAAAGUAGCAUAAUUAAUUGUCAUUUAAUUGGUGGAGAGAAUGAAUGGCUAAACGUAUGUCUCAUUGUCUUGGGGGAAAGUUUUUGAAAUUAGAAUAAUAGUGAAGAUCCUAUUAAUCACCGUUAGACGAAAAGACCCUAUAGAGCUUGACUAUACUCUGGAAAUGACUUUCUGGAUUGGUAGUUUAGUUGGGGCGACUAUCUUUUAUAAGUAACAAAGAUAAGCAUAAUAAUGAAAAAGUUUUAUUGUUUAAUUAAUAAAUUUAACAAUUACUAAAGUAGGCUAUAAUGACCCAUUAGAAUUAAAAUAAAUCUAAUGAUUAUUAAAUAAAAGCUACCUUAGGGAUAACAGGAUAAUUUUGUUUUAGAGAUCAUAUCAAAUACAAAGUUUGUCACCUCUAUGUUGAAUUAAGAUGACCGAAUAAUGCAGAAGUUAUUUAAGGUAGGUCUGUUCGACCUUUAAAAUCUUACAUGAUUUGAGUUCAUUCCGUA
rnacentral:rRNA from 1 species